GGGCCUAGCACUCUAUUCAUAUUAUAAAAACGUAUUUUUUUUCCUCCGGGAAAUUCCUUCAGGCUUUAAUUAUUUGAGUAUAUCAUUGUGAUACAAGCAAUUAAUUUGAAUUUAACGUUCUGUCCUCUAUUUUUUUUUUUUUUUUUUUUUUUUUUUUUUUUUUUUUUAAUUCUGGGAAGACAGACCAGAAGCGUAAGAUUCCAGGACCAGAUUGAGAAUUAAAGAUUUUCAACAGACCUGUUUGUUCUUAAGUGGUCUUCCAAUAAAGCAAUGAACGAUAUUGUCAAUCUCAAUGUUUCUAUUCAUUUUAUUCAAAUCUUUCGAGUUAUUAAUGAAAUUGUUUGUAUUCUUUCAGCCCAGAAUGAUACGAGACCUCUGGCCCUAACGUUGAGGAGUUCCCCGACAAUCAGUCCGGCAUCUCCUGGCAACUUCUGGCCACACUCCUUGGUUCCUCCCACCUCUCAGUCCUCACCAGUGUCUCAUAUGUAUCAGCCUAUUCAUUACUCAUCAUUACUCCAUUCGGGGACUUAUCCCUACAGCUUCGUGCACAACACUUCGGCAGUCGCAGCAGCGGCGCCUUCGAAUGGGGUUCACCCAACUUUAGAAUCAACAUCCAUCCACCCACUGUGCUCCUACUUGUCCGGGUCUCCUUAUUCGUCAGCUCAGUCGGUGGGUCUGCCAAACCCUACUAUAGCUUCAGCUCUGGGGGGACCGGGACCUCCACCCCGGCUCCUCGACGGACACACCAGCGGAGACAGCCAUGGCUCGUUGGACUUAAGGGACGACUCAGACAAAGAGGGAGGCAACGGAGGGGGAGCUGCAGCUUCCCCAGCAGUCAGUAGUCCGGACAAAAUCCCUCCCACAGCGCUUCCUCACAAACGAACCAGUAGGUUCCAGCCAUAUUAUCUAAUGUCAAGGCAGAAAAUAAUUGAGACGUCAGUGGAUGCGUAACGAUUCAGCAUUUCUAGUGAAUAACCAAGCGCGCCUGCUGUUGGGAGCGACGACGAAGUCCAGUGCGGAUUAGAAUAGAAUAGAACCAAAAAAUUUUCUCGAAUGGAUGAAAAGAAGUACUUAAGCCACGGGAAUGAGACGGAGAUGUUUUCUUCUUAAUGAAGUAAUCUGUGAUUUCAAGUGCUGGUGAUAAUGUGAUACGAAAAAGGAAGAAAACUGAAGGAAAAGGAAAAAAAAAACGAAAUUAAUAACAAUAAUAACUAUAAAAACUCUGUAAGCGCCGUCAUUAUUUCCUAUGCAAUGCGAAACGCAAUACUUUUUCUGUGACAUUGUUGUCUACGAGUGUUUCUCUAUGCAAAUAUUAUUGACUCAAGUGACAUUGUAAAGAAUGAUUUUUAUCGUGAUAUUUUAUGUAGAUUAUUGUUUUUAAGUUAUAUUAUUUUAAUGAAAAUUUCCCAUAGCAUUCUUCCCCCCCCCAAAAAAAACAGGAAAAAAAUGGAAGCUAAAUAUCAGUGUAUAAACGAAGUAUUUGCUACCUGGACUUAAAUGUGUGCUAGCCCCCUAGCGUAAUGUUGAAAUACAGACCAUCAUAUAUCAUAAGAGUUCCGGGUUCCUGCAUUCUUUUAAUGUUCAUAUUAAAGAAUUAUUAUUUUGUAGAAAUAAUAAUUAGAAAAUAGGAAGAAAUCAGUUUUAGUCAGAUUCAAGAGCAUGUAUUGAUUACAGCAAUUUGGUUUGCAGACACAUAUAUUGCGCUCACAUUAAUUUUUCUUCGAAAUACAGUGGAAUAAAGAACUCCUUAUGUUGAAUGCCAAAGAAGUAUUUUUACAUGAUAUUAAUCGUGAUUUUACUAGUCUCAUGGGAAAAAUUUUUGAAUAAUAAAAAUGUAACAUAAAAAAUAUUUAAUCGAAGAAGACUUAAUGCGUUUGAAUGAUAAUGAGCCAUAUACUCAACUUGCAAUGAUAUUAAAAAUUUGAAAUUAAAGAAAAUUAGAAAACUUGGUUUGAUAUUGAAAUAAACAAGCAUAUCGUUUACAUUUUUAGCUCUUAUAAAAACGGUAAGCUUGUUGUUUUCACAGAGUUGUAAAAUGCAACCUGCUGAGUACAUAUCUUGCAAGGAUGUUUUUCAUUCACUUGAACCCACUCUGAUCCAGUUCAAAAAGAUCCUAAGCAGCUUAGAAAGAGGGAAAGAAUAAGUGUUUUUAACGACUACACAACUGCGUAUAUUUACUUAUAUCCUCCAAAUUUUGUAAAUAAUAAGUGCUUUUUUAAAUAUAUAAGCGUCUCCCAAAUACACUUCUGGAGAGGUAUAUUAACGUACAUUUCUAGACUACCAUAGAUUUUUAAAAAAUCCAUUGCCAAAAAAAAUGAGAUAGAAUUAAUAAGAAGAGAUAGUAAGGAAAGGGGGGAAUAUCCAGUUUAAAUUCAAUUAUCAUUUCAAAUUUAAAUCUAAAGUUAAAUCUAAAUUUUACGAAGGAGUGGUAAGACAGAAGUCUUCACAGUGUAAUGAGAAAUUGUAUUAAGUCGCUGCCAUGCCAAAUUAUGUUCCAUUUGAAAACUUCACAUAGGUAGUGAUUAAGUUAAACAUUAUGUUGGGCAACCAAACCAUUGUUCUGCAUUGGAUAGUUCUACUGUAUUUCUACUGUUAAUAACUAAAUAGCAGGCUUUAGAUCAUUUUUAAUAUUUAUCUGAGCUAAAUUCUGCUUCAAUUUAGCCAAAUUUAAUGCGACCAUUCGCUAGUAAAGCUCAUAUUUCAUAUUAAAAUGAGUAUUUUCAGAGAUAUUUUACAAAACCAAAAAGGCGCAAUAUUUUGAACAUGAAUCUUUAGAUAAAAAUAAAUUAGUUAUUUCAAUUAGAAUAGAAUUUUCAUGUCUUAGACUUCUGUCAUAAGAUCAGAGAAACCUUUUAGAAAUUUCUUUAAAAUAAAAAACUUUGUGGUAUACACUGGACUUCCAAACUUUUCACAUUUAUUUAUUGAAUGUGAUGAAAGUGAUGUUUGUUUCAUUUCAACAUUACGCUGAAUAAAAAAUUGUGAUAAAUUCUCGAUUGCCAAGUUCCUUUCUUGUGCUUUAUAUUCUUUGUGAUAGUUAAGUGUUAAUUCUAAGGAAAAUAAAAAACGAAGACUCUUUCUAUCGAAUUUGGAGUCUAAAGAUAAUUUCCAGCAUGUCAUAAAAUCCAUGUAUGUUCUUCAUAAUUUUAUAAGUAAUGUAAGUACAUGUUAAGCAGUUGUCUGGAAGUGUGGAUAUAUAAUCCAGGUUAACUCACUUCUAAUAAUUCACUUCCAUGUGAUGCUUCUCAAAAAUUGUAAAAUGCUCAAAAAGGCAAAAGAAAAAAGAAAUUCAUAAAAUAUUUUAUAUUUAGUCAUAACAUAAAUUUAAAAAAUCAGAUACCUUUAAAAAUGUAACGACAGAAAAAUCCGAAUUGAAGAAAUAGCUUUUACGUUUCUUAUACAUUGUCCUCAUAUGACUGUAUUUCAAAGUCGGCCUUAGAUGUGAAACUGUCUUUAAAAAUAGCAUUAAUGAAAUUAGUAUAUUAGUUUCUGUUUAGAAAAAAGUCAAGUUCUAUUAAUGUCCCUAAUUUUCUUACUAUUUGAGAUUUAUUUCAAAAUAAAAUGAGAAUAUGAAAAUGAGAAAAUGCAUAUAAAUGAGAUUUUAUAUGCAUUUUAAUUGUAUCGCUUUCCUAAAUAUUAGUCCUGUUUUGAAGUGUUUUCAUAAUAUUCUAAAACUAAAAACAAGGUUUCACUAGCAUUCUUUGUUUUAUUUGCAAACGAUUUUUUCACAAAAGAAUUCCUUUUGCAUAUUUGCACCCAUUUCUGGACGACCGUGUAAUCGAUCAUCCCAUCAACAAAACACACACACGCAAACCAAAACAAAAGAGGAAAAAAUGGGAAGAAAAACGAUUAAAUAACUGCAAUUACAAUAGUCAGCAACAUUUUGCGAGAAGAUUUGUUUUGUGGCAUACCACCAAAUUUGUUAUUGUUGAUUGCUCAGGCGUCUAAACAGCAAACAAAUACAGAGGGGUAAAAAAAACCAAGAAUAGUAACGCCUAUCUCUUUGUGUUGCUUGAAGGAAAAUAUGCAUACACAUAAUUACCGUAAAAAUGUCACUGUCCUUCAGUAAACAAUCCAAAUUCUUUAUCAUUCAACAAUAAGUCAAAAAAUGGCCAGUCGGUGCUAAAAAUUUAUAUCAUUAUAAUAUAAUAUAAAUGAGAAACUCUUUUCUUUCCUUUUAUUUUAAUUUGCAGAUAUUAAGGGGUCAGGUACCUUUAAAAUGUCAAAAUGCGCUAAAACUAUAACACAUUUUAAAGCAAAAUGUCUUUAUAACUAACUGGUUUAUGAUCGUGAAAUUUUGUAUGCUUAUUUCUAUAUCGUGAAUAUUAUAAUUACUCUUUUGUUUUAUGUUCCAUUUAUUAAAAUACUUUUAAUACAAUAAAAAUAUGAUACCUUCGUCGUCAUCGACAUAAAAUUGUAAUAUGUACUUCGUACACUAUUAUAAAUAAACAAAUGGUUAUGUUUAGAUAAUGUUUUUCCCAUAUUAGGAAACUUAUGUAUAAUCAAAAUAACCUACUAUAAAAAAAAAACAGAAUUAUAAUUUUUCUAAAAAAGAAAUUUUUUUUUUUUUUAAUUUUUUUUUUAUUUUUGAGAUUCCGAAAUCAAUUAGUUUUACAUAAAAUUAAAGGUAAUUUUUAAACAUUUCUAAACAUAAUUUCUAGGGCUUUUACCAAUUGUCAAAAGUUUUAGAGUUUACUAUAUCAAUGGUCAAAAGUGUUUUUUUUUUUUUUUUUUUUUUUCUGACUAACGGUUUUGGAGAAAUCUUGCGCGCAAGCAGAAAAUUUUAGUUUUGAGAAAUCUUGACUUGAAGAUUACAGACUUCAGAUCCUGUAAGCAAACACCAUUUUCUUAAUAUUAACAAAGAAAUGUAGAAAUAUAAAUUUAUAAGUUAUUGUUUGUAAGCAUACGUAGCUAUAUGUUUACAAAGUUUCGCAUACCUAACCGCCAUAAUUUAACUGAAAUAAUGAAAAGUAAGGUUUUUCGAAAUUUCAUGUAAUUUUUAAUUUAAUUAUAAUUUUAACCAUUUUUGUGUCAGACGCAUAAUAACUUGUCCUUUUAUCCCGAUUUAGUGUUCACAUAAUUAAUCAAAAUUUCUUGAAAUUAUAAUCGGCCAGUUCUGAAAAAUCAUGCACGUAAGCCAGAAAAUCACAUUUUUAUGAAAUCUCAACUAAAAAUUUUAAAUUACCUAGAAAUCCUCUAAGCAAAUUUCUUUUUUAAAUUAAAAAUUAGAUAGAUAAAUAUUCUAAUUAGUUAACUUUUCUAUCAUAGUUAGUGAUACAUCCGUAUGAAUUGUAUACACAAGCAUUUUAUGUAUAGUUCAGGGGAUUUAAUAAGAUAAAUCUGCUAAAUAGCAAAUGUAAAUAAAACUCCUGGACCUUAGAAUAGUAAAAUCUUCGGAAAUAAUUUUUACCAUAACUUUAGUACUGGAUCGAAUUUUUACAUGGGGUUUGUUUUAAAAUGUGUGUAAGGAUUCGGCUUUAAUUUUUUUCAAUUAUUUAAAAGUACUGGCGCCUUAACCUAAUGCGAAAUCAGUGCAAACAUAAGCGACGUAACGCCAAUCAGAUAGUUGUUUUCUCAGAGAUAACACAACUUUUCAGUAAAACAUUUUGUAUGCCACAUAACUUAUUACGUAAUAUCCUGAAAGACACUGAUGUGAUUUUUAAAAUGAGAUAAAUCUAUUCUUAUUUUAAAAUUGCAUUGCAUUUAUAUUGCUCAAAGGAAUUUUAUUGUCUGCUGGUUUAUAUAUGAGGUAUACGUUACUAACAUUUUGAAAGUAAUGAAGCAAAUAAUUAAUGUCCAUAAUAAGUGUUUUGUGUGUUAAAUAAUACCCACACCCAAUUUUGCCUUGAAUUUAUUUUACUUUGUAAAAAAUUAUAAUACCUUGAUUACUUAAGCAAUAUUACAAAGAUAUAUAAUGAAUUACUUCUUUCAGGUUAAAAUUUUAAAAUAAUUUAAUUUUGCACAUUCGUGAGGUGAUGUAAUAUUGGAUUUCUAAGCAGAUGAUUAGAAUUUGAAUUUCUUUUUUCUUUCUUUUUGCAGAACAAAAAACCAAAAAUAAAUAAUUAAUUUGGGCAAAAAUAAAUUUCUAAAGUAGCUGAUAAAUCAGACAUAAUGGUAAAACUAGCGCAGUUAAUUAUUUUAUAACAACGGAACUUAAUAAUGUAACUAAUGUGUAACUCUACAAGACAAACAGUAAAUGCUACACGCAUGUGUUAUUUUGCUAAUUUUGUUCUUCCUCAAUAUGCUCGUCUAAACGGAUUUUAACGCAUUUGGAAUUUGAUGUAGUAUGUGAUAACAAAGCGUUGUACGUUUCCUUCUAGAGUAGUAUUAAAUAUGAUUUUCUAUUAUUUUUGAUUUCAUUGUGUUUUUGACCUUCUGAAAAUGUAAUUUGGAAAUCGAACUAUAUAUAGAUGUUCCAUAAAUCCAGCAUCACUUACAAUCUUACUAAAGGUAUUUAAAAUUACUUUCCUAUGUUUAUAAUACACCACGUUCAUUUGGAAAUUGCCACUCCAGUUACACAUAUUCGACGAUGGUAGGGUCAAUCUAAUGGUAAAAGUCAUCCUUUCUUCAGGACACUAAACAGCAGUUAAUUCCUCGGCAUAACAUAAAUGAUUUCGUAAAACAGAACAGAAAGUUGCCGAACUUGGUACUUUCUCCGGAGGUUACCAACCCGGUGGAUGAAUCUGUAUGAAGAAUUAGAGGUGCAAACGAUCAUCACACAGGUAAAUGUCAAGUGGUAUGAUGUCUGGGCUUCUUUAGACGAUCGUCAACAAUCGCACGGGGACGUGUCCCGUCUCCUGGAACUGGCAGAUUAUACACUGUGAUGCUUUGCUUAUGGAACACCUUUUAGACCGAUGAUGCUAACAGGCUCUCAGAGAAUGAAAUUUAUGAGCUGUCUGUGAAGUAUGUAUCGUAUGGAAAGGAUUUCAAAAUCUCUUAUAUAAUCCAGUCAUUCAAAAAAAUCAUGUGGAUGUGUUUUAUGACCCUCUUUUCUUUGUUGAAAUCGGUAUCAAUUUCAAUUAGUUAGGACAUGCUAGAGGUUUUUUUUCUCUCAAAUUGAGCAAAUGGAAAGCAACAGUUCAGUUCAGCAACAGAUACGUUCUUCUUUCAGCAAGAUAAAGCACCUCCCCAGUUUUCGAAUCACGUGCGAAAUGAGUUCAGUCGUCGAUUUUCAGGAAGAUAGAUUUACAUAAAUGGACUUAUCCUAUAUAGCCCAUAAGCCAUCCUACAACCGCUAGACACAACCCACUAGACUUCUUCCUAUGGGGUAAAGAACUGAUAAUCUUGACCACGUAUUGUAUUUAUUAAUUUUUGUAAUUUAUUAAUUUUUCCGUUAUCUUUUUUAGUGAAUGAAUUAAAUAAAAAGAAGUUGUAAUCCAUUUCGCACAAAAAAUACUUCACAGCUACUUCACAAAAUUGCACUUUGCAUUCUCUGAAACCCUGUACUCAAAAUUCAUUUUCAGUGUUAUUUGUGAUACUGUGAAAGCCUUUAAGAUAAAUUUAUUAAGUCAAUCAUUCAUUUCUUCCUCAUGACUUUUACCACAGCUUUUCAAUUAUUACCUUUUAUGUAUAAUUCCUGACCCAGAUGCCUGUAAUUAUGCUUUCGUUUCGAUACGCAAAAAGAGCGGCUAAAGUCAGCCGCUAACACGAGUUGCAUUCUCGUUAAAAGCCAGUAUAAUUUAUGUGAUCUCAUGUUCCCAUGAGAAUUGUGAAGUGCAUAAAUAAUGUUUAUGUUUGCCACAUGUAUAUUAUAACUCCGAUAGAAUUCCAUUUCUUGACCAUUGUAAUUCACACUUUUUUGUAUAGUUCUUCUUUUGUAUAGUCUUAUCGAUGUUGUCAUUAAAAACUGGUUUUUUUAUAUGUUUGCUGAGCUGUGAAUGUUACUUGUAUAAAAGCAAAUAAAAGAAGCAGUCUGAAUAUGUCUCAGCCUAAUAAAGCUAUGUGCUUAUAAUUAA
rnacentral:lncRNA from 1 species